rnacentral:misc_RNA from 1 species
UCUUAUGGUGCUAGCGGUGUUGAGUACUCAGAACAGGCUGAGAAGCAGAUUGAGAUGUACACCAAGCAAGGGUUUUCCAGUCUGCCUAUAUGCAUGUCGAAAACCCAGUAUUCCUUCUCGCAUAUCCCCUCUCAAAAGGGCGCACCGUCUGGAUUCACUCUGCCAAUCAGAGAUGUCAGGGCUAGCAUCGGGGCUGGCUUCAUAUACCCGCUAGUUGGAACGAUGAGUACGAUGCCUGGGCUGCCUACUCGACCGUGUUUCUUCGAUAUCGACAUUGAUAUCGCCACUGGAAAGGUUCUUGGUCUCUCAUAAAUCUUUG